rnacentral:rRNA from 1 species
UACGGAGGGAGCUAGCGUUGUUCGGAAUUACUGGGCGUAAAGCGCGCGUAGGCGGCUUUGUAAGUUAGAGGUGAAAGCCUGGAGCUCAACUUCAGAAUUGCCUUUAAGACUGCAUCGCUAGAAUCCAGGAGAGGUGAGUGGAAUUCCGAGUGUAGAGGUGAAAUUCGUAGAUAUUCGGAAGAACACCAGUGGCGAAGGCGGCUCACUGGACUGGUAUUGACGCUGAGGUGCGAAAGCGUGGGGAGCAAACAGGG